UAGAGUUUGAUCCUGGCUCAGAUUGAACGCUGGCGGCAGGCCUAACACAUGCAAGUCGAGCGGAUGAGAGGAGCUUGCUCCUUAAUUCAGCGGCGGACGGGUGAGUAAUGCCUAGGAAUCUGCCUGGUAGUGGGGGACAACGUUUCGAAAGGAACGCUAAUACCGCAUACGUCCUACGGGAGAAAGCAGGGGACCUUCGGGCCUUGCGCUAUCAGAUGAGCCUAGGUCGGAUUAGCUAGUUGGUGAGGUAAUGGCUCACCAAGGCGACGAUCCGUAACUGGUCUGAGAGGAUGAUCAGUCACACUGGAACUGAGACACGGUCCAGACUCCUACGGGAGGCAGCAGUGGGGAAUAUUGGACAAUGGGCGAAAGCCUGAUCCAGCCAUGCCGCGUGUGUGAAGAAGGUCUUCGGAUUGUAAAGCACUUUAAGUUGGGAGGAAGGGCAGUAAAUUAAUACUUUGCUGUUUUGACGUUACCGACAGAAUAAGCACCGGCUAACUCUGUGCCAGCAGCCGCGGUAAUACAGAGGGUGCAAGCGUUAAUCGGAAUUACUGGGCGUAAAGCGCGCGUAGGUGGUUCGUUAAGUUGGAUGUGAAAUCCCCGGGCUCAACCUGGGAACUGCAUUCAAAACUGUCGAGCUAGAGUAUGGUAGAGGGUGGUGGAAUUUCCUGUGUAGCGGUGAAAUGCGUAGAUAUAGGAAGGAACCACCAGUGGCGAAGCGACCACCUGGACUGAUACUGACACUGA
rnacentral:rRNA from 1 species